rnacentral:piRNA from 1 species
UGGCAGUACCUGGUGUGGACAGUGAGU